rnacentral:rRNA from 1 species
AUUGAACGCUGGCGGCAGGCCUAACACAUGCAAGUCGAACGGUAACAGGAAGAAGCUUGCUUCUUUGCUGACGAGUGGCGGACGGGUGAGUAAUGUCUGGGAAACUGCCUGAUGGAGGGGGAUAACUACUGGAAACGGUAGCUAAUACCGCAUAACGUCGCAAGACCAAAGAGGGGGACCUUCGGGCCUCUUGCCAUCGGAUGUGCCCAGAUGGGAUUAGCUAGUAGGUGGGGUAAAGGCUCACCUAGGCGACGAUCCCUAGCUGGUCUGAGAGGAUGACCAGCCACACUGGAACUGAGACACGGUCCAGACUCCUACGGGAGGCAGCAGUGGGGAAUAUUGCACAAUGGGCGCAAGCCUGAUGCAGCCAUGCCGCGUGUAUGAAGAAGGCCUUCGGGUUGUAAAGUACUUUCAGCGGGGAGGAAGGGAGUAAAGUUAAUACCUUUGCUCAUUGACGUUACCCGCAGAAGAAGCACCGGCUAACUCCGUGCCAGCAGCCGCGGUAAUACGGAGGGUGCAAGCGUUAAUCGGAAUUACUGGGCGUAAAGCGCACGCAGGCGGUUUGUUAAGUCAGAUGUGAAAUCCCCGGGCUCAACCUGGGAACUGCAUCUGAUACUGGCAAGCUUGAGUCUCGUAGAGGGGGGUAGAAUUCCAGGUGUAGCGGUGAAAUGCGUAGAGAUCUGGAGGAAUACCGGUGGCGAAGGCGGCCCCCUGGACGAAGACUGACGCUCAGGUGCGAAAGCGUGGGGAGCAAACAGGAUUAGAUACCCUGGUAGUCCACGCCGUAAACGAUGUCGACUUGGAGGUUGUGCCCUUGAGGCGUGGCUUCCGGAGCUAACGCGUUAAGUCGACCGCCUGGGGAGUACGGCCGCAAGGUUAAAACUCAAAUGAAUUGACGGGGGCCCGCACAAGCGGUGGAGCAUGUGGUUUAAUUCGAUGCAACGCGAAGAACCUUACCUGGUCUUGACAUCCACAGAACUUUCCAGAGAUGGAUUGGUGCCUUCGGGAACUGUGAGACAGGUGCUGCAUGGCUGUCGUCAGCUCGUGUUGUGAAAUGUUGGGUUAAGUCCCGCAACGAGCGCAACCCUUAUCCUUUGUUGCCAGCGGUCCGGCCGGGAACUCAAAGGAGACUGCCAGUGAUAAACUGGAGGAAGGUGGGGAUGACGUCAAGUCAUCACGGCCCUUACGACCAGGGCUACACACGUGCUACAAUGGCGCAUACAAAGAGAAGCGACCUCGCGAGAGCAAGCGGACCUCAUAAAGUGCGUCGUAGUCCGGAUUGGAGUCUGCAACUCGACUCCAUGAAGUCGGAAUCGCUAGUAAUCGUGGAUCAGAAUGCCACGGUGAAUACGUUCCCGGGCCUUGUACACACCGCCCGUCACACCAUGGGAGUGGGUUGCAAAAGAAGUAGGUAGCUUAACCUUCGGGAGGGCGCUUACCACUUUGUGAUUCAUGACUGGGGUG